AGGACGAACGCUGGCGGCGUGCUUAACACAUGCAAGUCGAGCGGAAAGGCCCUUCGGGGUACUCGAGCGGCGAACGGGUGAGUAACACGUGAGUAAUCUGCCCCUAGCUCUGGGAUAGCUCCGGGAAACCGGGAUUAAUACCGGAUACGACCACCUUAGACAUCUUUUGUGGUGGAAAGAAUUUCGGCUAGGGAUGAGCUCGCGGCCUAUCAGCUUGUUGGUGGGGUAAUGGCCUACCAAGGCGACGACGGGUAGCCGGCCUGAGAGGGCGACCGGCCACACUGGGACUGAGACACGGCCCAGACUCCUACGGGAGGCAGCAGUGGGGAAUAUUGCGCAAUGGGCGAAAGCCUGACGCAGCGACGCCGCGUGGGGGAUGAAGGCCUUCGGGUUGUAAACCCCUUUCAGCAGGGACGAAGCGAAAGUGACGGUACCUGCAGAAGAAGCGCCGGCUAACUACGCGCCAGCAGCCGC
rnacentral:rRNA from 1 species